rnacentral:lncRNA from 1 species
AAAGAAUGGUUAUUACCAGGGAAGGUUUUCCUUUUGUUUUACUUGCUAUCCAGAUGCUGCUCAGACUCUCGCUCUCGCACAGGAUCACACUAUGGAUAUUCCAAGUCAAGACCGACUGAAGGUAAAAUCACCACACGGUGACUUCUUUUCUUGUACAGAGUGGCCCCUUCUCUGUACCUGUGGAUCUUGGGCUCCCAAGGCCUUUUCGUGAAUGUGGUAAGGAUUUAAUAAGAAAAGCCCUUGGGGGUUCACAGACCAGGGACAGAGUGAACCUUCUCUGUUCUGCCCUUAACAGAGUUCCAGUCUCUGAAUGUGUCUUUGGGAUGUAGCACUUCUGAUUUUCACUCCUUCCAGUUGCUCUCUCUCUUUCUCUCUUUCUAUUUCUUUGCGUGUGUGUGUGUGUGUGUGUGUGUGUGUGUGUGUGUGUGUGUGUGUUUAAGAUGGUAUAUAUUUGAGUGUUUGAGGCAUUGCUGUAUUAGACUGUAGCAGGCUGGUUGCAGUUAAGUUUAAGUUUAUGUCAUGGCAUUAUGUCAUGAGUUGCCUCAAAUGUAGGGAAACUUUUAAGAUCAUCUUGAAAUAUGAUGAGGGUGUCACUUGCUUUCUGAAUAUACCUAAUAGAAGUAGGCUGUGCAGACAACCUGUUUUUCAAGAGUGUAUUUUGUCCUUUGUACACAAGUUAUUCCCCUUCCCCAAGUUUGGGGUCCUGCUAGUUCUGCUGGUGGUGUUGAGAGGUGUGUGUUGCCUUUCUUGAGGAUUCUUGUCAGCUUUAGAGCUCUCUUUUCUUGUGCAUAACCCAUUGUGUUGCACACUAACUGGUGAGCCAGAAUGGAACUGCUACAUCCCCUGGUCUUAGUCAUUUCAGCUGUACUAACUGACACCCUUCCCUUUCAGCACGGUGCAACAGAGUGCUCCAACCCCAGAAAAAGAACUGAAGAAGAUGAUACUCACACACUGCCUACCUCACGACGUAAAUGCAGAGAUUCCAGAGCAGAUGAAGACUUGAUAGAACAUUUAUCUCAAGAUGAGACAUCUAGGCUUGAUCUUGAUUUUGAGGAGUGGGAUGUUGCUGGCCUGCCUUGGUGGUUUCUAGGGAAUUUGAGAAACAACUAUAUACCUAGAAGUAAUGGCUCAACUGAUUUACAGACAAAUCAGGAUAUAGGUACUGCCAUUGUUUCAGACACUACGGACGAUUUGUGGUUUUUAAAUGAGACCGUGUCAGAGCAAUUAGGUGUUGGAGUAAAAGUUGAAGCUGCUAACUGUGAGCAACCAAGUGAAGUAGGGAGAACAAGAGACAAGAAGAUGGUUGAAGGGGGAAAAGAUGAUGACCUUGAGGACUCCAAGUCCUUAAGUGAUGAUACUGAUGUGGAAGUCACUUCUGAGGUAAAAGCUGUUUUACUGUGGCCAAUUUUUAGCUGAAUCCUAGUUCCUGUGCAUCCUA